rnacentral:rRNA from 1 species
AUUGAACGCUGGCGGCAGGCCUAACACAUGCAAGUCGAACGAGUGGCGGACGGGUGAGUAAUGUCUGGGAAACUGCCUGAUGGAGGGGGAUAACUACUGGAAACGGUUGCUAAUACCGCAUACCAUCGGAUGUGCCAAGAUGGGAUUAGCUAGUAGGUGGGGUAAAGGCUCACCUAGGCGACGAUCCCUAGCUGGUCUGAGAGGAUGACCAGCCAAACUGGAACUGAGACACGGCCCAGACUCCUACGUGAGGCAGCAGUGGGGAAUAUUGCACAAUGGGCGCAAGCCUGAGGCAGCCAUGCCGCGUGUAUGAAGAAGGCCUUCGGGUUGUAAAGUACUUUCAGUGGGGAGGCGUUACACGCAGAAGAAGCACCGGCUAACUCCGUGCCAGCCGCCGCGGUAAUUC